GAUGAAGAACGCAGCGAAAUGCGAUAAGUAAUGUGAAUUGCAGAAUUCAGUGAAUCAUCGAAUCUUUGAACGCACAUUGUGCCCGCUAGUAUUCUGGCGGGCAUGCCUGUCCGAGCGUCAUUUCAACCCUCAAGCCCCCGGGCUUGGUGUUGGGGAUCGGCGAGCCUCCGCGCCCGCCGUCCCCUAAAUCUAGUGGCGGUCUCGCUGUAGUUUCCUCUGCGUAGUAGCACACCUCGCACUGGGAAACAGCGCGGCCACGCCGUUAAACCCCCAACUUCUGAACGUUUGACCUCGGAUCAGGUAGGAAUACCCGCUGAACUUAAGCAUAUCAAUAAGCGGAGGA
rnacentral:misc_RNA from 1 species